rnacentral:misc_RNA from 1 species
UUUCCGUAGGUGAACCUGCGGAAGGAUCAUUACAGUAGUCACCCAGGUUGCCGCAAGGCCUCCUGGGUAACCUACCGCCCUUUGUUUAUUACACUUUGUUGCUUUGGCAAGCCUGCCCUCGAGCUGCUGGCUCCGGCCGGCGAGCGCUUGCCAGAGGACCUAAACUCUGUUUGUCUAUACUGUCUGAGUACUAUAUAAUAGUUAAAACUUUCAACAACGGAUCUCUUGGUUCUG